GAAGGCGAUGGAGCCAUCACCUCCGGCCGGCAUCCUCAUCUCGGUGCCCACUUCGACGGUGAUGAUGAUGGUAACGGUGCCUACCUACCUACGUCAUUCAUCGGCUCUUAUUCUUAGGAUGCCUAUCGUCUUCCUCGCAGGAAGGUUCAAUCCUCUUUCAUCUGCUUCGUUUUCGCCCCUUCAUACGAACAGGAACGCCGCCUAUUAGGGUUCACUGCGAAACUCAACUCUCCUCUCAGAUACAUAUACAAAAGACAAGGUGCACAAGAGCUCGGAAGAAGCAAUUUACCUUAAUGGUCCAACGGGUUCAGAACAGAGGGCAUUUUUGGAAAUCACAAAUUACUACAACAAAAGAAUGAUUCGGAUUAACGCGCCGCAACGCGCGUGGGGUUAAAACCUAGUAUAUAUUAAUUCACAACAUAACCGAACAACAGUGAACUGACGGUAACGGCGUCAGCUUUAUCAUCUUCUAAACCCUAAAUCACAUUCUUCACUUCUUCUUCACCAGAUCGACACCUUCCCACCACCGCCCUCCAUCAUCGUCUUCAACGCCAACGCCACUCACUCCGUCGCCCACAUCCGCCUCCAUCUCCAUCACCACUUCCCUGUCGCUGCUUCCGACCACCACGGCCUCACCCGUCUUCUCCAGCCAUACCGGAACCACUACGAACCACCGUAGAUCUGUGGUUAUCUAUGAUACAAAUGAGAUUGUGAGGUAUUAGAGAAAGAAAUGGAGCGAUGAUUAUUGCACCACCGUUGCCGGAGGCACCGGCUUCAGGUCAGCGUUUUGGUUUUUAUUUUUCUUUGCAUUUUGUGGUUUAAUGUUGGGUUACUUUGUGGUGUGGUUGUUACAACCGCUGGUAUUGUUGUUUCACCACCGCCGAUGAUUGGAGCCUGCCUAUUGGCGUGGCAACUCCGGUUGCAGCCUGGGCGACACUGAGUCGUCAAGACGAUGACGAUCUAUUAGAUCCGGGUCUGUUGGUUUAGUUAAAUCUGUUUUUUGUGAGGGUGAGAUUUGAGAUUUUGAUAUUGUCGGUGGUUUACGAAUCUCUAUGACGGCGACGAACGGUGGUUGUGGAUGUAUAGUGUUUCCUUAAUUUUGGGGGUUUCGUGGUUAGCUUUUGUGUCAUUGUUGCACGUGAGUUUGAAACCAGCUAUGGUUGUUGCUUUUUUUUCCAUGGAUAUCGAUGUGUUGAGCUAUGAUGAUGUUGUAUGAAGUUUUUGGUGGUCUGAUAUACGAUGCUUACCUGGCCGUGAUGGUUUCCUGAGCCUUGGAUGUGUGUUUCCGUUAACCUUUGUGUGCAUUAUGUUGUUAUAUUUUGUUAUGGGUUGUACCCACUUCGUGUCUGUAACGAACUUAGAUUGGGUGAUGAUGAUUAUGAUGCAUUCUUGGCAUGGCAACUGUGAUGCUUGAAAUCAAGCAACCAGAACUGCAGCCAUGAAAUUAGAAUCUGAGCCUAAAAUCUUUAAAUUGAACAUGUGAGGAAGAGGAUUUUUUUUUGCGAAAGAUUGAUCGGGACUGUGCUAAUGAAGAAGAAGGUUUCUUAGAUUGGAACAUGGGUGUCUGUUUGAUUUAAUUUUAACUUUACUAACCAUUUACAUUUGUGGUGUCAUCCGCAAGUGUCAUUUGGGAUAUUGUAAACACACUCAAGGGGCGUGGCGUGGCGUGGCUUAAACUAUGAUCCGGAGGUUAAUUAUAACCAGAGUUUGCUGAUCGACUACACGGUAACGUGUAGUCAAUUUCGUUUCCCGCGAUCGUUCUCAUACCGUUGCACCAUUCGGAGUUCCGCCUUCACAAUGAACAGGUUGUUAAUUUGGACAUCCAAUCCCAAAUGUGUGGGCUUGGUAAAAUUUGCAAGUUGGUAAAAAUGAGUGCUGAAUAGGCGCACUAAAAAGGCGGGUCAGAAUCGGAGAUUAGCCAUAAACGAACUUUUCCAUCUCACCAUCAACUUCCAAAUAGCUGCAAGAAAGGCAAUCGAAGCAGGUUUUGACCAGCCUUCAAGAUUCACCUAGCAAACACACAAUCGACCAGUUCAUGAAAGAUUAAGUUUUUACCUCUUAUAGCGUUUAUGCUUUGUUUGUAUACGGUGCGACUUAAUUAGUAUGCCCCUAGCCGCAUCGCCGCAACGCGGCGGGGCUUACAUCUAGUAUGUAUUAAUUGACAAAUGGUCGGUACAAUAGUAAAGUAUCCAAGACUCUUUAUUUGACACCGAACUUUUCAUCUUCUAUGUUUCUAUGCUCUCUGCUUUAGUCUCUCUCUACAAUCAUCGCCUCUGCUUUUGCUCUCUCUUCAAUCACCGCCAAAACACCACCAUAACAACAACAAAACCUUCAGAGACAGAGAUCCGAAGCCGGUGAGUCUCAGAGACAGAGAUCCGAAGCCGGUGAGUCUCCGGUCACCGGCCUCCGGCGCGAAGCCGGUGAACCAUGAUGGCAGCAGUGACGGCGUCGUGGCUCGAAGUCGAAAUAGUUAUACUUAUAUAACAAUUUGCGUUGUUCUUGUCUACAGUUUCCGUUUAUAGGUUUUGAUGACUACAUCUGCCGGUAACCUUGAUAACCCACGUCACUCAACCCACCGCUUAUACCACUGGUAACCCUCCCUCAAAUUGGGUUUUCCGACACAACCAUCGCCAUAUCAACACUGUGAACCGAGGUUUUCUGGUGGGUAACGACCAUCGUCACCACAAUCCCCUUCUCAAAAAGUAGGGCAAUUCCUCACCACAAUCCACAUCACUACAACACCUGACAUCCUCCACCAACACAGGCGCCCUACACCAACAUCAUCGUUGCUCUUAAAUCAAGCUAUUAAAUUAGAGUUUCAUCGCUCUGUUUCUCUCCCUUAAGGACCUGCUCAUAUCAUCACCACCACAUCGUUCCCAUCAUCCUUGACGACAAUUUUCUGCCGAUGCUUCAACCCAACCACCACCACCGUCACUGCCAGCACCGCGCCGCUGGUAACGUUGGGUUGAGAUGGAACUGAAGGUAGGCGAAGAGGGAGGAUGUCCAUGAAUUCGAUUGCCAACUGCAGGUGUUGAUUUCCGGCGAACUGGAGCUAUUCUGGUGAAGGAGGUGAGAUCUGGUUGCUAUUGUAUUUUUUGGAAGUGGUGACCGACGGUGUUUCCUUAUAACGUGGCGGUGGUGGUUGAUACGUUAGACAACGAUACUCGGCUGCUGGGGUGAUUUCGGACAACCUAAUAUUCUGACAAGCUGUUGCGCGGGUCUCCGGUCAGGAGUCGUGACAUGGUGUUGAAGGUCCGAUGGGAGAAAGAGUAACUUGGGUUUUGUCAUUUGUGAUAAACUUGGUUGAUUUUGGGGUUUUGAAUGAGAAGACUGAAAGGACAUGAUCUGUGGGAGUAGCAGCAACUUUUGAAGAUAAUUUUUGUUAACACUAUAUUAAUAUUAUGAUCAGGUUAAUUUUGUUUGCCUUGGCAUAGAAAAAUCCAAAGCUAAAACAUUUCGUUAGCAAUGAAGAAUUGUAAUUUCUUUUGUGAAAUUGAAAUGAUAAAUUCAUUUGUUUAAGGUAGUAUUUAUGAUAAAUUGACAUUGUA
rnacentral:lncRNA from 1 species